GACGGGACCGCACAAGCGGUGGAUGAUGUGGUUAAUUCGAUGCAACGCGAAAACCUUACCUACCUUGACAUGUCCGGAAUCCCGAAGAGAUUUGGGAGUGCUCGCAAGAGAGCCGGAACACAGGUGCUGCAUGGCUGUCGUCAGCUCGUGUCGUGAGAUGUUGGGUUAAGUCCCGCAACGAGCGCAACCCUUGUCAUUAGUUGCCAUCAUUUGGUUGGGCACUCUAAUGAGACUGCCGGUGACAAACCGGAGGAAGGUGGGGAUGACGUCAAGUCCUCAUGGCCCUUAUGGGUAGGGCUUCACACGUCAUACAAUGGUCGGUACAGAGGGUUGCCAACCCGCGAGGGGGAGCUAAUCCCACAAAGCCGAUCGUAGUCCGGAUCGCAGUCUGCAACUCGACUGCGUGAAGUCGGAAUCGCUAGUAAUCGUGGAUCAGCAUGUCACGGUGAAUACGUUCCCGGGUCUU
rnacentral:rRNA from 1 species